GGGCACUUUUUGGAAGAAACGUGUGUGAAUCCUACAUUCAUCAUAAAUCAUCCUGAGAUAACGAGUCCUUUGGCAAAGUGGCACAGAUCAAAACCAGGCCUGACGGAACGUUUUGAAUUGUUUGUUAAUAAGCAUGAACUUUGCAAUGCAUAUACUGAAUUGAAUGACCCUGUAGUACAACGUCAGAGAUAUGCUGAACAACUCAAGGAUCGGCAAUCAGGUGAUGAUGAAGCAAUGGCUUUAGAUGAAACAUUUUGUACGGCUCUGGAGUAUGGUUUGCCACCAACUGGUGGUUGGGGUUUGGGUACGUAUUGAUCAGUUGACAAUGUUGCUGACUGAUUCACAGAAUAUUAAGGAAGUUCUUCUCUUCCCUGCCAUGAAACCUCAAGUUGAACCUUCAACUAAAGGUUUGU